ACCCAUUUGACUUAGUUUAUCUAAAGCAGCUUAUAAGCUGAAAACAGCUUAUAAGCCAAAAAAAAUAAGUUGGACUACCCCAACUUAUUUUUUUCAGCUUAUAAGCUGCAAACAACUUUAAGCUGUAAGCCAAUCCAAACGGGCUCCUACUCCUCACCUUGCUCACCAUUUUUCAUCGCUUAAACCCCACAAAAUAACCAUGACAGCACCAUAAAAACCUCCAUUAAAUUUGCACACCCUUCAACUAUGGAGACUUCACCUUCAAGCUUCUAUAAUCACCAUAAACCCCAUUAAAAUGCAACCAAGAACACCAUUAUUAAACUACACAAGCUCACCAUCAUUGUCGACACACCUCAAAACCAUCUUCUUUUCUGUUGCUUGGUCAAGUUAGAGGCUCCGUUUGGAUUUCUAUUCGUGUUCCGGCAAAAGUUUCAUUAUUCUAGCUAAUGUGGUAUUGACGGAAAAGUUGGACACAUCUGAUCCAUUAAUAUAAGGGACGGAGUUACGUGGUCUGAAGGAGAUACAAUUGAAUCCCUUUUGACAGAAAAUUAUACGGCUGAUCAUAUAGGACUAGCCAUGCAACAACAUGAACAUCAUGCAGAUGAGCCAAGUAAUGAAGAAAAAGAAGAAGACAACAGCAGGAAAGACAUUAAUGUUACACCUAAAAGACAAGAAGUACAAGGACCACAUGAACAAAAUGAUGGAAGUGAAAUUGUACUUCGACAGCAACAUAUUAAUGAGUUUUUGGAUGAUUUUGAUAAUAAUUGGUCUGAUAUAAAUUUUGAUUAUUUCUUGGAGGAAGAAUAUGUUAACCAGAACAGCAGCUUGGACUUGGAGUUUGGAUCCAUUGAAGAGUUGACAUAUUUGGAACAUGACAUGUUACCUUGGCUAUGGAAUGAAUAAAUAGAAAUUCAUACUCCCUUCGUCCCAAUUUAUACGGUGCGGUCGGAAUUUUGAGAGCCAAUCAAGUGUUUCUUUGACCGAAAUUUAUCUUCAUAUGCCUUUUAAAUAUUUAGGUUAUUAUUUAUUGUGAUUAUUUAUAAUAUACGUCAAAACACUUAAAACUUCUAUGUUCAAAUUCACGGUCUUAAUUUAGAAAUUUGAAU